GCCUAAGUAGCUUAGAAAAAGCAUCGGUCUUGUAAUCCGAAGAUCGGAGGCUAAGCCCCUCCCUUAAGCU
rnacentral:tRNA from 1 species